AAGAGGGCUUUGCGCCUU
rnacentral:snRNA from 1 species